UUGCACGCUGGCGGCAUGCCUUACACAUGCAAGUCGAACGGUACCAGUUCUUCGGUUUCUGCUGAGUGAGAAACGGGGAAGAAUUCCAUCGAAAGGUGCCGGUCGGGGGGGGAAACGUAACCGAAAGUUUUCCAACACCCCCAACCCACCUACGGAGCAAAGGGGGGGUUUUUCGGACCCCCCCCGGACCGAGCGCCGGAUGGCAGAUUAGGUAGUUGGUGGGAUAAAAGCUUACCAAGCCGACGAUCUGUAGCUGGUCUGAGAGGAUGAUCAGCCACACUGGGACUGAGACACGGCCCAGACUCCUACGGGAGGCAGCAGUGGGGAAUUUUGGACAAUGGGCGCAAGCCUGAUCCAGCCAUGCCGCGUGCAGGAUGAAGGCCUUCGGGUUGUAAACUGCUUUUGUACGGAACGAAAAGGUGCCUUCUAAUAAAGGGCGCUCAUGACGGUACCGUAAGAAUAAGCACCGGCUAACUACGUG
rnacentral:rRNA from 1 species